CCCUGCUGUGUGUAUAGAAUUCAUACACAGUGGGUGGAGAAGAAGAGAGAGGCCAAGGGUCUGGGCUCUACUGUAAACCGUCUCUGGCCUUGGCUUCCCAAUGGAACCACCAGAGGUGAAUCAAGGUUGCCAUGCCAUUCUCUAAGGAAGACCCCAGCCAUGAGCUGAGGAGACUUGGAAGGACAACAGACCACAGGAGCAGACAAGAGUCUCAGGCACCUGGCCUUCAAGACCCCUUUCUUCAUAGGAUGAGCAUCCGGCUGAGCCCUCACAUCCAUCACCACACCACCCUGUUCUGGAGAUGCCAACCCUCUGAUGGGAGAAGAGUCAGAAACCAGGGUGGAGGAGGAGGCUGGUGAAGGACCUGGCUUGCUCCCAACCCAAAUUAUAGAAUCCCUUCUGACCCACCUUGGGGUUCUC
rnacentral:lncRNA from 1 species